ACAUUUCAAAAGAAUCCACAAAUAUAACAAAUUAACCAUAACAAUUGUAGUGUAUAAAAGAUUCAUCUUAUUUCGUGUUCACGAAAACAUGUCCUCGACUAAGAUGCUGUUCGGUUGUGUCGUUUCAAUAUUGGUCUUAUGCGAACUUGUUGAUGCAAAGGCUAUCGACAACGGCGAGUCAGACUUUUGCAAGGAUUUAAUGGAUUUAGUGAAAUCAUAUUACAAAGAUAAAACUAUGGACUCUGAUAAAGACAAUACUGAAGAUGAAGAUAAAAAGAAAGAAAAAUUAACAGAUUCAGAGGGAACAAAAUUAUUGACUUGGUUCAUGCCUCACCUUGAAGAACCUGAUGAAAAACUAAAAAAAUCUUAUAAACAACCAUUAGAGCGUCUCAUUUCGAGUUAUACGGAGUUCUUAUCAAAUUUGUUUAGGAUUUUUUGACAAAUAUAACACUUUUUAAUAUUGUUUUAUUUA